GUCCUGGGGCCCGUUUCAAGAAGGAGGUUUAACAAACUCUGAGUUAAAACGAAACUCUGAGUUGAUUUACUCUGAGUUUGUAAACCUGGAGUUUUCGGUUUCAGAACAGCUGAAAAGAGUUGGUUUAAGCAACUCUGAGUUGUGUGACUCAGAGUUAAGCGCGUGCACCGCGACGAUACAAAGCCCUGAUCAAUGGAGUGAAGAUAUUACGAGUCACCAUGGCAACAGGACAACAAAAGACGUCCGGAAAUGGAUAUGAUACGUCAAGCAUAUAACGACUACGAGUCUAUAAUCCGUAGAAAAAGCAACACGGCUGCAGCGGCGAAAGAGAAAGAAUUAGCUUGGAAGAAAAUAGCUGCUCGAGUCAAUGCCCAACAGAAAGUAGGCAGAGGCUAGAACAACUGGUGGAGGACCUGCACCUCCACCUCUGACGCAUGCAGAGGAGAAGGCCCUCAGCCUGAACACUGGAAAGCAGAGGCUGAAGGAAUUCAUCAGAACCCGUCACUCCUCAGGAUUGAGUGCAUGUGUAAAAUGUUCUGAUGGUAAUAUAUGAAUCCUCCUGUCACAACAAAAGCCCAGGAUGUUGUAAGUAUACUACUAAAUAAAGCUUAAAUUAUGAUAAGCAGUAUUAUAAAGUGUAAUAUUAUUACAGUUUAUACACAUCACAUGAUUUCUGAAGUUUGUGUUGCGUAGCCUAAAGGAUGUAACUUGAUCUCCAAGUAUAGUGACAUUAUUAUCUCCCCUCUGCCCCAGAGUGUGGAAGAACAGCAGGAGGAGCUCAGUCACAUUCUGCUGCACAGAUGCACACAGUUCAGUGAUGUUCAGUAAAUGCCAGAGUUCAAUUCUGUAAGAGUAAUGAGGAACAUGUCAUGUCAAGAUGUCAUGUAACUCUAAAUCUUCUGUAUUUUAAGUUACCGGUUAUUGAGUUGUAUAAACUACAUCUCAAGGAAAUGUUCCCAAACACAAGCUGGAGAUGAGUGUAUAGUUGAAGCUGAAUUGUAUGAAUUAUUGGAAAAAUCAUAAAAUCUAAAAAUUGCCUUUGUAUUUGUAGGGAAUGAAAAAAAAAAUUAUGAUUUACAUCUAUUCAGUUUCUUUUAUUGGUGGUGAUGGUUGAUUAAGACAUUAAAGCAAAUCUGUCCAUCCACUCUGCAGAUUACUGUGAUGGAAGGAGUCUCCUCGGAGUCUUGUAUUUGUAGGGCAGGGUGUUGCUCCUCUCUAAUAAUUGCAAUAUUGUGGAGAACAACACAUGUCACAUU